rnacentral:lncRNA from 1 species
UUUACUCAGUGCAGAAUAGCGAUCAAGCAGUCCCAAACUGUGAGAGGCAGACGAAUCGAUUCGAAUUUAUUAACCAUGCAUGGCGAACCUAAUCUCACGACAUCCGCGCACCACAAAGGGUCGCUUCAUUUGUCAGCCGUCCCCAUCGAUCCCUUAGGCACGUGUCAGGGCCAACUGCCUUUGGCAUGCAAUGCUCCAUAAUCCCGGCCUCUGCCGUACUACGACCGCACUUGCACCCACAUGAUGCACCACGGGAACAACAUUCCAAGGACAGCCGGAGGGUAUGCCACACCCCAGUUCAAUCAGGUACUAGGCUUCCCUAUCCCAUACUAGGUAUGAGAUUAGUACUUUCAAACACUUGAUCAUGAACGCCGACACGUUUCGACCUUAGUCCAUUUUCAUUAGACAGACAGGGCAAACCACCAAGUAUCGAACAUAAGCCCGACCCCGUCCAUCAUCCUUAUAGUUGCAGCGUAAGCAAAACAUUCAACUCCUAUAACUCGCGAGCGAUAGGAAAUCACUCGACUUUUACCGAAACCUAUUAAGUAUUGCCGCUACUCGACCUUAGCAACUAGUAUUCAGAUCAAGGUACUAAGUUCAAGCAUCUAUGGUUUCAAUCAACUCCUACAAAUGUAAAUGCACAAUCAUAAGCAUCAACAACAUGCAUAAAUUUAAAAUAGGGAAUUCAUGCACCGGGGCUUGCCUUCAGGAAAGGUUAGUGGUUCCUCGGGGUCUUGAUCUAGCUCAGGCUCGACUUCCAAGUGAUGAAGUUCCGCAGCAGGUUCUUCCUCCGGUGCAGGGUGGAGCUUGUAGGUUCCAUCAGCGAGAUUAGCUUCUACACGACAUGCGCAUGCAAGAGUUCAGUUGUAACCAUGCGUGUACACAAACGAUACAAGGCAUGGCUUUUUGGUAGAAAGAAGGUUUACGAGUAGAUUGAAGGUGUGUUACAGAGGGUUUGGUGAGUUUUUUCUGAUUUUGGGAGAAGGACAACUAUUUCUCCUAUUUAUCUUCUAUUUAAACAUGCUUAACAAGGAAGGUGGGUUUCUUUCUGAUUCUGACCUCAACCCAUAUUUUUCAUGUAAACUCCCUCUCAAAACUGAGUUAUUCCAAGUGGUUUCAUAUUUUUCUCAGCUCUGGAUUAAAACUUAUGCAAAAAACUAAGAUUUAACCCUAGAUUUAAAAUAUAAGGUUAAAACAAGAACUUUAAGUUCUACUCCAGGGCCUUAAAUAUUUUUCCGAGCUUCUACUCAUUGAAACAUUCACCACAGAGUUUGAUUUACCUAUUUAGAAUUUUUCUUCUAUUUACUAUGAUUUAAAAAGGCCUAAGCAAGAAAUAAAACCAUAGGAUAUUAUUUACAAUAGUAACACGAGCAAACUUAUUUUUGUUAGAAAAUAGGUAGAACAAGAGUUCCAAAAAAAGUGAUUUGGCAUUUUUCUAAUUUUUCUUCGAUUUAAGAUCUAAUUUCCAAGUUUCUGCUGAUUUCACUCGAGUUAAAAGAGUCGGAUCGGGGAAAACUUACGAUCUGACCCUUAGACUUAAGGAAUAAUUGUACCGGGAUCCUCAGAUUUAACAUAGAGAAGUCCUUGGAAUUUAACACAGAUACCCUCGGUCAAAAGAAAAGACAUAACCGUGCCCUCGGGCGAGGCGGACAGCACUCGGGCGAGGCGCACAAGGUCCGGUCGCUUUCGCGGACGAUUCUGGGUCAGGAACAGCUGGAAAGGGGUCGGCAGCUCACCUCCAAUCCUACUGACGAGGUCUCGGGGUUGGGAAGAAACAAGCUGAGGUGGAACAAGGAACAACGGUGGCUUGGGUUGGCGUCAUGGAAACUGGCGGCGGCGAUCCGGCGAGACAGGGGCCUGAGAGGCUCCUUGAGCAGGUCAGGGAGCUCUUUGAAUGGGUUGGCAAGCUCUAGGCGACCAAGGCGAAGCUGACAGUGAAGGAGUCGCUGCACGGGGCUGGCCGGAGUGGCAGCUCCACGGGAGCCUGGGGGCGACGCAGAGGAAAAGCAGGGGCGCGGCAAGCGGGAGGUGGCAAAGGGGUGGCACUAACGGUGAGCUCGGCCCUUUUAUAGGGGAGAGGUGGAGCAAAGGGUCCAGGCGGGGCUCCGGGUGUGGGAGGAUAAGGUCGGGGGAAAGCGGGUGCGCGGGCGAGGCGGCCAUUGGCCGGAGGCACCAUUGGCCGGAGAAGCGGAGCUCCGGGGACAGGAUCCUUCGGGCAUUGGGCAAAGAAGAUAGCGUCGGGCAAGCGCGGUUUUGCCGAGCAGAAGGAUUGGUGAGGUCGAGCGUGUGUCUGGUCGCGUCAAACACCGGAUUGGGGGUGGCGUGGCGGCUUUUCCGGUGAGCGGGCAAAACUCUGGUUGGGCGGAGUGGAUGCGCGGCAGGGGCGAAGGAUGUGCUCGGUCGGUGAUUGGCCAGCACGGCGCUCGCCCCAUCUUGUCGUGGGCGCGUGUUGGGUGUCGAGGCUCCCGCCCUGUCGCUCCCCCACCGCGGAUAGGGCGCCGGCGAGCUACCGGUGGACGGCGGCCACGCGGUGGGUGGCGCGCAGGUGAACGUGCCCGGGUGCGCUGGCGUCGAGGCAAUGUCGGGCAACAACAAGACCGGCUUUGGGGGCCCUCCACUCGAGAUUUUUAAACUAAACGUUCGAAUACCCCUUAAGCAAACUGGUAGAACUAUGGUCAUAGUUCAAACUUUAUUAAAAGUGUUUGCUCAGAUUUUGAAAGGAUUUGAAGAUAACUCGAGCCAAAAUUUUCCAAAAACUAGAGUUUUCGGACUUAGGCAUUUCAGCCGAUUUGGUGAAAUUCCAGGAGUUUGGCUGUUUUUGACUCGAAAAUUUUGGGCAGCUUCUGAGUUGAAUUAGACCAAGCUAUUAUUGAAGCAGUUGCUCUUCAGUCUUAGGACUUCAACUUCUAUUAAGGCUCUUCUUGAGUUGAGUUCAAAAAUUUGGAGGAACACACUCGCCAAGAGGCGCGCUUUGGAUGGUUUCCAGACUUAGAGCUGGAAUGCCUAGAGGCCUGAGUUGACUGUUUUACCCGACUUUGACCAGGUUUCGAUUUGGACCUAGGUCAGUGUAACAAAGUUGGAACGCACUCAAGGGACUACAACUUUUAUUAAAGGCCUGACUUGAGGUUAGAUGUGAAAUUGUGAGAUAACAGGUUGCAAAGUUGAAGAAAAACUUGAAUUCCAGGACUUAGGUUGUUUGUGGGGUUUUAUAAUAGUCUUAUUUUGAUUCUUAUUUUUGACCUUCUCCCACUCCGAAUUAGCCAAAGUGUCUUUAACAAAAGUUGUUUGAAAUUAAAAGUUUUACAACUCUUAUUUGGGCCAAAUUUUAAGUUUGUAUAUAAAAACUCAAGUUUUAUAUUUAACUCCAAAAAGAGCUUUUUAGGGUCAAAAGGACUUUUCACCUCUUUUACUUAGUGACUAACAACUUGUUUAGGUUUAAUUACACUCAAUUAAGGCAGAGUUGUUACAGCCUACCCCCCUUAAAGAAAUCUCGCCCCGAGAUUCAAGUGCAGAAAGGAACUAGUGUGGCUGGUGCAACGUACCUCCCUGGCCGAAAAGAAAACCGCGGAAGUUAGUGUUGAGAUACUCUUCUGUUUCCCACGUUGCUUCAUCUUCCGUAUGGUUACUCCACUGAAUUUUGUACAUUUUCACCAUUUGCCUACGAGUAUGUCUUUCUUUCCGGUCGAGGACCUUAACAGGAUAUUCCUUGUACGAUAAAUCGGGUUCGAUCUCCAAUUCUUCCGGGGCAAAGAUUUCAGUUGGAACUUGAAUACACUUCUUGAGUUGCGAGACAUGGAAAACAUCGUGUAUCAUAACAAUCUUCUCCGGGAGUUUAACUCGAUACGCUACAGGUCCACAAAUUUCCACAAUCUCAUAUGGACCAAUAUAGCGUGGAGCCAACUUUCCUUUCACUCCAAAACGUUGUACGCCCUUGGUCGGUGAUACUCGAAGGUAUACAAAAUCCCCAACCUCAAAUUUGAUAGGUCUUCUCCUCUGAUCAGAAUAGCUUUUUUGUCGGGACUGGGCGGCCUUAAGAUUUUCUCGGAUAACUCUCACUUUUUCUUCGGCCUCCAUGACCAAGUCAGGUCCAUACACCGUUUGCUCUCCUGGUUGAGACCAACUUAGCGGGGUUCGACAUCUACGUCCAUACAAGGCCUCAAAAGGUGCCAUUUUCAAGCUGGCUUGGUAGCUAUUGUUGUAUGAGAAUUCUGCUAGUGGCAAACACAUAUCCCAAUUCUUGUCAUAAUGAAUGGCACAAGCGAGCAGCAUAUCUUCCAAUAUCUGGUUGACUCUUUCAGUUUGUCCAUCGGUUUGAGGGUGAUAUGUGGAGCUACGAAUCAGCUUAGUGCCAAGUGAAGACUGCAAUUGCUCCCAGAAGCGUGCUACAAACUGACUACCUUGAUUAGAGAUGAUCAUUUUAGGCACACCAUGCAAGGAAACCAUUCGGUCAAGAUACAGCUCCGCAUAUUUUUGUAUGGUGUGGGUGGUGUGUAUCGGAAGGAAAUGCGCUGUUUUGGUAAGUCGGUCCACUAUAACCCAUAUGGAAUCAUGCUUGCGAGAGGUAUUGGGCAAUCCGACUAUAAAGUCCAUGCUUAUGUCCUCCCACUUCCACGAGGGAAUAGGCAGCGGCUGCAAGGUUCCAGCUACCUUUAAGUGGCUUGCUUUAACUCGCUAACAUGUAUCACAUUCUGAAAUGUAUCAUGCAAUAUCUGGUUUCAUUCCACUCCACCAAAAAUUUUAUCGGAGAUCAUGGUACAUCUUGGUACUGCCAGGGUGAAUCGAAAACUUGGAAAGGUGUGCUUCAUCCAUAAUCCGUUUCUUAAGAUCAGGAGCAUUUGGAACAACCAGUCGAUCUUCAUAGUGUACAACUCCCUUCGAAUCUUGCCGGAAGUGCUUGUGUCCCUCAUCUAUUUGUGCGAGCUUCUUUUUGAUAAGUUUUAUAUCUUUAUCCUCCAAUUGUGCUAAAACAAUCUGGUCAUCCAAGGUAGGCUCAAGGGAAAUAUGACUUAAGGUGCCAUGGGGAACAAUUUCCAAUUUAAGCUUAGCCAUCUCAUGACACAAGGUCUCGGCAUAGUUGGUCGCAGACAAGCAGUUACAAUGGAUUUUGCGGCUGAGAGCAUCUGCAACUACAUUGGCUUUGCCUGGGUGAUAGUGCACUUCUAAGUCAUAGUCCUUGAUCAACUCUAACCAUCUUCUCUAACACAUGUUGUGGUCUGCUUGAGUGAAGAUAUACUUCAGACUCUUGUGAUCUGUAUAGAUAUUGCAACGAGUCCCCAUAAGAUAAUAUCUCCACAUUUUCAGAGCAUGAACGACUAUUGCUAACUCAAGAUCAUGGGUAGGAUAAUUCAGCUCAUGUGGCCGUAGCGCUCGCGAGGCAUAGGCAAUGACUCGGCUGUCCUGCAUAAGAACACAUCCAAGUCCAGUGCCAGAGGCAUCGCAAUAAACGUCGAACGGCUUAGUGGUGUCUGGCUGAGCUAAAACCGGGGCAGAGGUCAGUAAUUGUCUCAAUGUGUGGAAAGCUUCUUCACAUUUGUCGCUCCACACAAACUUAAUUCCUUUCUUCAACAGUUCCGUCAUUGGCUUAGCUAUCUUUGAGAAGUUAGGAAUGAAUCGACGGUAGUAGCCUGCUAAAUCGAGAAAACUUCGAAUUUGAUGAACUGAAGUGGGCGGCUUCCAGUCCAUUACUUCUUGAACUUUGCUUGGGUCUACUGCUAUGCCAUCGCUGGAUAUGGUGUGCCCCAAGAAUUUGACACUUCCUAGCCAGAAGUCACACUUGGAGAAUUUGGCAUAGAGUUGAUGAUCUCUUAAGCGUUGGAGCACAGUAUGAAGGUGCUCUGCAUGUUCUUCCUCAUUCUUCGAGUACACCAAGAUAUCGUCGAUGAAUACCACGAUGAAUUUAUCAAGUUCGGGCAUGAACACUGAAUUCAUGAGAUACAUGAAAUAAGUCGGCGCAUUAGUAAGCCCAAAUGACAUGACUAAGUACUCAUAGAGUCCAUACCGUGUAGAGAAGGCAGUCUUAGGAAUACCGCACGGUCGGAUCUUGAUUUGAUGGUAGCCGGAACAAAGAUCAAUCUUGGAAAACACUCUAGCUCCAGCUAACUGCUCGAACAGAACAUCAAUGCGGGGUAAUGGGUACUUGUUCUAUAUCGUCACCGCAUUGAGAGGUCGGUAGUCCACACACAUACGCAGACUCUCGUCCUUCUUUUUCACAAACAAGGCGCGGCAGCCCCAAGGUGAUGUACUUGGACGAAUAAAACCUUUUUCCAACAACUCAUGCAACUGAGUUUUCAUUUCUGCCAGUUCUGCGGGUGGCAUCCGGUAGGGUCUCUUUGAAAUUGGGGCAGUGCCUGGUUGCAACUCAAUAGCAAACUCGAUAUCUCUAUCAGGCGGCAUACCCGGCAAAUCAUUUGGAAACACAUCGGGAUACUCACACACCACUGGAAUGUCCUCCAAACGGGCUUCAGUCACGGAAUAGGCACAAGAAGUUUUGCACUCGCGGUGGGGUAAGUGUAUGAUUGAGCUACCAUAUUUGGGUGAAUUUAUAUGGACUGCUCUGGCAGGGAUGUCUAGUGCCACUCGGUGCUGAGUCAUCCAAUCCAUGCCCAAGAUGAUAUCUAUCCCCUCUAACCCAAGGAUAAGUAGGUCUUUCGUAAGAAGGGUCCUUCCUAACUUGAUAGGUACACGGCGGGUCAAUUGGUGUGAGGUUACUUUCCCACCCGGGGUAGAGAUUAUAUAUGCCCCUUUCGUGUGACAGAAACCUAACCCACACUUAGCACUGGUUCUAGUCCUGAUGAAACUAUGGGAUGCUCCCGAAUCAAACAGAAUAAGGACGGGUUGAUUAUGGAUAGAGAAGGUACCCGUCAUCACUGGUGCGCCUUCUGGAAGUUCGGCAAGGGUGGUGAAGUUCAGCCUGCCUUGUCGGAUCUGAACUCUAGGCUUCUUCCCCUUGUUUCCCAGUGCAUUGCUCUAGCCAGGCCGUUGAUUCUUGUUGCGGGGGCAGUCCUUGGCAAAGUGUCCCGGGUUCCCGCAGGUGAAGUAGCGGUUUCUAGUAGCAGUGCGCGGCGGCAUUGGAAGAGUAAGCCGGGGCCCUUGUGGCUGGAAUCCUGGGAAACGAGGUGCUGCCUGUGGUGGGGGUCGAGCAACCCAUCUCCCAGGCUGUGCGGGCCUGCGAGACACCUGUAGGGGCACCAUCCUGUAUCUCUAUGCAGGUGGGCUGGGUGUCAGCAUUGGAGCCUUCCGCUUCAUGUCAGCCUUGAGGACCUUCAUGCAAUUCUCCUGGGAAAUUGCCACGUUCACCAAUUCAUUGUAAGAAUCCACCUUGAUGGGAUUCAGCCUUUCCUUGAGCUCCAAACUCAAAUCUCUAUGAAAGCGGUCCCUCUUCUUCUCAUCGGAGUCCGCAUGAUAGCCUGCGUAGCGACACAGGUCAUUGAAAGCCUGCGCAUAUUGUAGGACGUUGCGGCCUCCCUGGGUGAGAGCCAGGAACUCGUUGAGCUUGCUCUCCAGGAGACCCUCAGGGAUAUGAUGGCCCCUGAAUGCCGUCUUGAACUCCUCCCGGCUGACGACGUGGUCGGCUGGCUGCAUAGGAGGGUAGAACCACGCAGCUGUUGCGCGGCGAACCGAGUCUUGUUCUCGUUCGGGCAAUGGGCGGUGAGGAGGGAGAACUUGGACUCGAUGGCAUGAAUCCAGGCGUCGGCGUCAAGCGGAUCCUCCGUCUUGUGGAACAGAGGAGGCUGUGUUCCCAGAAUGUCCUCAUAGCGAGCAACAUGAGGUUGCUGAUGAGCUCUUCCUCCCUGGGGCUGCUGCUGCUGCCCCUGGGCGAUGUGCCUCAGCAGCUCAGUUUGAGCAGCCAAGAUCGCCUCUAGGGUGGGUGGAGGCGGAGGCGGUGGAGGCACCUGCCUCUGCUCGCUGCCACUAGGAACAGAGCCGGAAUGGGUGUGGUGCGCCAUCAGCAAGAUUCAUCUUUCCAUUAGUCACAUAAUCCCCAAGCUUGCCCAAUCAUGAAGAAAUUAUGUGCUGAAUCUUUAAAUGCUAAUCUUGCCGAUAGUGCGAACACAACAAUCCUAUCUUUUAUUGAGUAGGUGCAUAUCUCUUCUUCAAAGUAUACAAGGCUCUCAUACUUAUUCAAGAGUUAGGACUCGUCGUACAUAACCACUUCCCUUUUAUGCUUGUUGACCGAAAAGGAAGGAAAAGGGGAUCCUUUAGCCAAGUUAGCACGCUGCUGUUUGGACUGACUUUUAGCAAGCUGAGCUGUGAUGUUUUGGUUCUAAUGUGAGUUUGACAGAUCCAAACGAGCUAAAAUUUUACAAGCAGUUAGAACACAAGUUUCUGCACAACUUUGGUAUUCAAACCUUGGAUCAAAAACGAGUGGAGAUAGGGGUAAAACUGAGGAGAAACAGUCACUGAAUUGCUGCCAUAAUUUUUCAGACAUUACAACUAACCGGUAGCAACGGUAAAUCCAUACAUGGAAUCAGUUUUUCAACACCCGAAUACUCAACUCAAGCUAACCUAUUACCACACUAGCUAAAAAUAUAGGUCGCCAAGGAGUACAACAAAAGAAACUACUCACAACAAGCCGAUAUAUCUAAAAGUCGUCAAGGUUGCCUACGGAGGCAAAGUUGAGUGCAGGAGAGUGAGCGUCGCCAACUCGAGGCUGCGGAGCAGCCUCCUCAAAGUCCAUACUCGAAAAGCCCUCGAUCUCCGCGGGCUCCUCCUCCUGAGCCAAAGGCUCAUCCUGCUGCAUCUCUAAGGCGUGGAUAGCAUUAAGCUCAGCGUGUUGCUCCUGUAGGUGCUCAUUGGCGUUCGCCAGCUCCAUGUUCACAUCAUAGAACUGGUCGGCCAGCAUCUCCAUAUCAUGCUCCAUAUCUCCUAUCUCUUCCUCUAAACUAGAAAUCUAGUUCUGCAUAUCAGAAAUCUGGAAAUCCUUCUGUACCAACUUAAGUGACAAAUCCACCAUGCCAUUCUGCACGGUAGUGAGGGCAACCUGAUAGGCCAUUGCCAUCCUAAUCACAGUGGUCAUAGCCUUGCUCUGCAUCUCAAUCAUCCGGUAGAACACAUUCAUGCAGCGAGCUGAAACAAAAAUCAUGCGUUGUGGGUCCAAAACACCUAGCAAGUCCAUGUGCUCCGUGCGGUCCAACCAAUCCAGAUCUCUCCUAUCCUUGGCAGGAAACAACCCAAUUGGUUCUAACACAAUCUCCAGGGGGUGUGCCCUGCAAAACUGUGUCAGUGCCUGCAAAGCUACAAACUCCCAUGUGUCCUGCAACAUGUGUCCCUCAGCCACAACCUCCAAAAGUGGCCACUGGGGCUGGUCUGGGGGUGGGGGCACCUUCACGUGCACGCAGCUCCGAGGAAUCCCGUGGUCCUGGUACGCGCGUCCCACGUAAACAGGCGGUGACGGGUACCCAAAUGAGCGCAGGGUGUCCCACAAUAUGGCUGAAAAAUCCUCGUAGUGGAGGCACCUCGAGUGGGUGGUGCCAUCCACACCAACCGCAACGUACACGGGGUGAGCCAUCUGUAACAAAAGGACAAGUGAGGAACGGGAUCAAUACUCGGAAAUCAAAACAGAUUUCUGGCAGUUAGAGAAAAACUCAUAACUCAGCAAGUAUUUAUCCCAAAUUCCUCAAAUUUUACCAGCAUGUUUCUUAGGUAGUGUGUAACAAGUUUGGUAUUCAAAUGUAGAGCUAAAACAGAACCUAGCAGGGUGAUAAUCUCAGAUUUCUAUCAAGUGGUACAUGCUGGAAUUUUUCAAACCGAGCUGAAGUAAACUGAGCAUAACUUCAAAACCAGAGACCUAAUGAAGCUAAAAUUUCACCACCAAGUUCUUGAAUAAGUUCUGAGAAACUUCUAUUAAAGGACUCCUGGCAGAAAAAGUUGUUAAGGUGGUCGAAACAGUAAAAUUCCAACUGGUGUACACACAGUGUUAACAGCCACACAGGGGGGGGUCACAAAUCUGAUCAUAGCUUUCAACCUAGGUGGUAGCAUUUUAUGAAAAAUUUUCAGCAAGUUAUUUAGGAUAUUUAACACAACUUCCUUAUAUAAAGUUUCUGGAGUUAUUUCUUGGAACAACCUGAAAGAUUUUUAUCCAAACUUGCAUGGCGGAAAAAGGACAGGUAGAAAAUCCUUAUCGCGGGCACUUCUUUUACGACAUACACGAGCCCAAAACAUUUCGUUAGGUUGCGAUUUUUUUUUAUUUCACAAUUCAUGCACAUUCUAGUCAUCCUCACAACCAAAACAAUCGCGAAAAAGCUUUGGACUUACGUAGUUAGUGCCGGUGGCAAGGCAACAAUACGACUCUCACUAUAAUAACUAGUCGAGUUGCUAAACAUCAUUUCAUACGUAAACGUGGUUAGUGUACCUGCAGAAAAACAUAUCACAUCUUGAACCUUCCGUGCCAGCACUCACGAAAGCAUCCAAAAUCAUUACCGUUCACUAUAGAAACGGCACCCAUGCGUUUAACGCUGCAUGGAUAGCGGAACAACCGUGGAAAUAGAUUCCUUUGAAUAGAACCAUAUAACCCUUCGAAUUCUCGUGAUGCAGAAUCUUGCACACGUAUAAUAGACGUGAGCGAACAACCGUGGCGAUAGACUCGUUGGAAUCGAACCAUACCAUCCUUCGCAUGAGUUAACAUACGAAACAUGCGCACGUAUAAUAGACGUGGGCGAAAAAUAACCGUGAUGAUAGGCUCGUUGGAAUCGAAUUCCUAUCACCCGUCGCAUACUCGCGAUGCGGAACUUUGCACAUGUAUGAUAAACGUGGCGACAGGUGUUGGAAGUCAAUAAAUAAAAUAGUUACUAGCCACCUUAAACGACCCAAAAUUCCCCUAGGGCUUCUCGUACUAAACUCAUCCUUAACGAACUUACGAAUUUUUCAACUAAUUUCUUGCAAAUUUUAUUCAGAUAAAGGGUUUUAAGGUCUGUUGUUCUCCAUACCGUGCUUCAAGCUCUGAUACCAGCUAUGGCGGAACCGCCCAAAUUAACCUGGCUAAAAUACACUUAAGUUGCCUGACACGCGAACAUGCACUUUAAGCAACUCAACUUGGUCAUCCGUCAGAUUUCAUCCGAUAAACCACUUACACAGGAUCGAGAAGCAUUGCUCACAUGAAGGUGAGUAGCACAGAGAUUGCAACAUUCCCAUCACAUUAACAUAGUUCAACAAUUUAUUACAUCAGAGUUUUUCAAAAUUCAAACAAGUUUGCGAGGUUCAACCAGAUGAAAUAAAACAAGCGAAAGCUAAACGUCAAUACACGAUAUCAUGACAAAGCCGAUCAUGACUUCAAUGAUCCCUGCCCUCGCCGUCCAAGGAGGGAUCUCACUCAACUGUCCAGCCCGGAGGGAGCUGGGUAGGCCAAGUGGUGCCAGCAACCACACUAUCGACAUUACCUGAAAAGUUAAGCCACAACAAGGUUGAGCAACUAAUACUCAGCAAGACUGACCCGACAGGUGAUAGCUACUGUCACCAAAUCCUAGACAUGCAAGGCUUUUUGGCUUUGGGUUUGUUUUGCCAAAAGCAUCUAUAGUCGGUCCUUACUUUCAAUAUUUUAGCUCAAGUUCUACGUUCGUUAACCAGUCUAGAUUAGCAACUUAUACUAAGCAAGCAUAGUUUUCCAAGCAAUUAAAGAACAAGCAUCAAGAUUAAUAUCAUCAUCAUGUUCCAUCUUUACUCAUUGCAGAAUAGUGAUCAAGCAGUCCCAAACUGUGAGAGGCAGACGAAUCGAUUCGAAUUUAUUAACCAUGCAUGGCGAACCUAAUCUCACGACAUCCGCGCACCACGAAGGGUCGCUUCAUUUGUCAGCCGUCCCCAUCGAUCCCUUAGGCACGUGUCAGGGCCAACUGCCUUUGGCAUGCAAUGCUCCAUAAUCCCGGCCUCUGCCGUACUACGACCGCACUUGCACCCACAUGAUGCACCAUGGGAACGAC